GUAAUGCAAGGCAUACGGCUCAGUAACACGUAGUCAACUUACAGUAGGCUAGGAUAAUCUCGGGAAACUGAGCAUAAUACUCGAUCGAUGAUAAUGCCUGGAAUGGUUUAUGGUUGAAAUGAUUCGUCGCCAUAGGAUGGGACUGCGGCCUAUCAGCUUGUUGCUCCGGUAAUGGCCCACCAAGGCGAUUACAGGUACGGGCUCUGAGAGGAGAAGCCCGGAGAUGGGUACUGAGACAAGGACCCAGGCCCUAUGGGGCGCAGCAGGCGAGAAAACUUUGCAAUGUGCCAAAGCACGACAAGGUUAAUCCGAGUGAUUUCUGCUAAAGGAAUCUUUUGUUA
rnacentral:rRNA from 1 species